GAGGACCUGGAUCAGGUGGUUUAUGCAUGGAACAACCACCGAAUAAGGCCAUCCCACAACGCUCGGGCUCCCAAAGAAAAUGGACACAAUUCAAUGGAUAUCAAUCAACAAAGAGGUGUACAGAAGAGGAGGCAUACAAAGAGGAAACAUAACCUGUUCGAUCAUCAUGCACUGCAAAAUCAUUCUGGCUAUGGAUACGGAGAACAUCAAGACAUUAACAUCAACACACCAGAGGAUAUAUCCAUUGUACUUGGGCUCUGCUGGGAGUUUACCUCAUAUUUUGAUUUUUUAUUUAUUCUGCUUUGCUACUAAAAUCAUGAUUAACACUGACAACUAAAAUAUUGUGUUAUUGUUGUUAUUGUUAUGCAUAUUAUUAUUAUUAUUAAUAAUCUGUACCAUCCUAUUCAUAAUAAUAAUAGGGGAGGGGCGGUAGUUAAAAAAUGAAUGCCAAAAGUUUCUUCAAAAGGUUCCUUGAUAAUCCAUUAAAAUUGAUUAUUUGAAAAAACCUUUUAAAUGACAGCAUCAUGUUGUGGGUGUGCUUUGCUGCAGGAGGGACUGGUCUCAGCCUCUAGUAUUUAUGAUGCAGUAGUUUAUG